UACGAAGGGGGCUAGCGUUGUUCGGAAUCACUGGGCGUAAAGGGCUCGUAGGCGGCCAACUAAGUCAUACGUGAAAUCCCUCGGCUUAACCGGGGAACUGCGUCUGAUACUGGAUGGCUUGAGAUUGGGAGAGGGAUGCGGAAUUCCAGGUGUAGCGGUGAAAUGCGUAGAUAUCUGGAGGAACACCGGUGGCGAAGGCGGCAUCCUGGACCAACACUGACGCUGAGGAGCGAAAGCCAGGGGAGCAAACGGG
rnacentral:rRNA from 1 species